rnacentral:lncRNA from 1 species
AAAAAGGAAGGUCCAACCAACGGCACUUGUUCAAGAAUGCGAGCAUAAUGGAAAUGGGACAAUGUUUGAAGUUGAAAAGAACUCUAAAACUAGGAAUCAAAGGACUGCUGAACUUGAUGCAAUGGAACAAAAUGACAUAAAUUUUGAUGAUGACGGAGAAGAUAUAAACGAGAUGAGUGCAACUUCAAAUAAAAAAGGAACGAGUCUUGACAUGUAUUUUAAGGUACAUGAGAUAAAUUUGGAAGAUGAAAAAGAUGAGGAAGAUGAAGAAAAUGAGCUUGAUGAUGAUGAUGCAAAUGAUGCGGGUAGUGGAGGACAAGCUAGUAAUGAAGGUACUUUUCUUGUUUACUUUAUUGUCUAAUUAUAGCUUAUAUUAUUUCUCAAUUGAAUUAUGUUAUUUUAAUCGGAUUUAAGCACAAUAAAAAAGAAAAUCCGUGGAAAAACUAUGUGCAAAAGGCUUCAUGCCACAGAUUUUAAUGAUCGACGGGAGGUGAAAUUUUUUCAAGGGCAGCCUAUAGGUCUAACCAAGGAGGUUGUAUCUAACCUCAACCAACUAUUGGGCACCACAGUUAGAAAUCCUAGUUUUGUGACUUUGUUAUAUACUAGUUGGUAUGGUGUGCCUAAAAAACUCAAAGAGGACAUGUGGGAGUAUGUCAAUGUAUGUAAAUAUGGCAUUAUGGAUAAUUUUUUGUUAAUUUAUUUGUCACAUUUUUUGUGCUAACUGUUGAUAUUCUAAUGUGUUGUGUUGCAUAGCAAAAGUUCGUUCUUCCCAUAAGUUCAAAGCCUUGGAUAAUGCGGGCACUUUGUUGUGCAUGGAAAAAAUACAAAUGGCAAAAUAAAAAUAGAACAUUUCUUGAAGUACAACACAAAGAAAGAAAUGAUAAAGAACCGACCAUUAGAGAUUCUCGAGGUUCAAUUUUGCAAACUAAUUCGGUAUUGGAGUCUUUCGGAUAUCAAGGUAAUAUUAUCUUUUAUUUCUUCCUAUGUACCAUCAAGCAUACUAUCAUUAAUUCUUCAUGUUCCUAAACUUAGGUGUUUUGAAGAAAUUUGACAUGAUAUCUUGUAAAUGGAAAAAAUGGAAUAAAAUGACAUAAAUUCUGAUGAUGACGGAGAAGAUACAAGCGAGAUGAGUGCAACUUCAAAUAAGAAAGGAAUGGGUCUUGACAUGUAUUCUAAGGUACAUGAGAUAAAUUU